rnacentral:rRNA from 1 species
UACGUAGGGUGCUAGCGUUGUCCGGAUUUAUUGGGCGUAAAGAGCUUGUAGGCGGCUCGUCGCGUCGGGUGUGAAAACUUGCGGCUUAACCGCAAGCCUGCACCCGAUACGGGCGGGCUAGAGUUCGGCAGGGGAGACUGGAAUUCCUGGUGUAGCGGUGGAAUGCGCAGAUAUCAGGAGGAACACCGGUGGCGAAGGCGGGUCUCUGGGCCGAUACUGACGCUGAGAAGCGAAAGCGUGGGGAGCGAACAGG